ACAGUGGACGCGAGCAUCUUUGUUGUAAGUAAUGAAGAGCGUACGGUGGAUGCCUUGGCACCAGGAGCCGAUGAAGGA
rnacentral:rRNA from 5 species